AUGAACGCUGGCGGCGUGCCUAAUACAUGCAAGUCGAGCGAACGGACGAGAAGCUUGCUUCUCUGAUGUUGGCGGCGGACGGGUGAGUAACACGUGGAUAACCUACCUAUAAGACUGGGAUAACUUCGGGAAACCGUAGCUAAUACCGGAUAAUAUUUUGAACCGCAUGGUUCAAAAGUGAAAGACGGUCUUGCUGUCACUUAUAGAUGGAUCCGCGCUGCAUUAGCUAGUUGGUAAGGUAACGGCUUACCAAGGCAACGAUGCAUAGCCGACCUGAGAGGGUGAUCGGCCACACUGGAACUGAGACACGGUCCAGACUCCUACGGGAGGCAGCAGUAGGGAAUCUUCCGCAAUGGGCGAAAGCCUGACGGAGCAACGCCGCGUGAGUGAUGAAGGUCUUCGGAUCGUAAAACUCUGUUAUUAGGGAAGAACAUAUGUGUAAGUAACUGUGCACAUCUUGACGGUACCUAAUCAGAAAGCCACGGCUAACUACGUG
rnacentral:rRNA from 1 species